UGGGGAAUCUUGCACAAUGGGGGAAACCCUGAUGCAGCGACGCCGCGUGAACGAUGAAGCCCUUCGGGGUGUAAAGUUCUUUCGACAGGAACGAUAAUGACGGUACCUAGAGAAGAAGCUGCGGCUAACUACGUGCCAGCAGCCGCGGUAAUACGUAGGCAGCGAGCGUUGUUCGGAGUUACUGGGCGUAAAGAGUGCGUAGGCGGCGAGCCAAGUUUGGUGUGAAAUCUCCCGGCUUAACCGGGAGGGUGCGCCGAAAACUGGCUGGCUGGAGUAUGGGAGAGGAAAGCGGAAUUCCUGGUGUAGCGGUGAAAUGCGUAGAUAUCAGGAGGAACACCUGCGGUGUAGACAGCUUUCUGGACCAAAACUGACGCUGAGGCACGAAAGCGUGGGUAGCAAACA
rnacentral:rRNA from 1 species